rnacentral:rRNA from 1 species
ACGCUCGACACCUACGGAGGCAGCAGUGGGGAAUAUUGGGCAAUGGGCGAAAGCCUGACCCAGCAACGCCGCGUGAGGGAAGAAGGUUUUCGGAUUGUAAACCUCUGUCCUCAGGGACGAAGGACGUGACGGUACCUGAGGAGGAAGCCCCGGCUAACUACGUGCCGGCAGCCGCGGUAAUCUGAGCGGGCUGGCAAGGC